CAGAUACAGAUACUGCCUUUAAAGUUGAURUGGCAAAUCAGUGCAGAGGCUGCCUGACCAGAUCCAAAAGAAGGAUACUGAAGAAGAUGGUGCCUCUGACACAUAGCAUUUAAUGUAUGCAGGUACCUGGUAUCCAGGUGUUAGUGUGAGUUGGGAAGAUAGAUGUCUGCAGCACCAAAUCAGUGGGAAUCUGUACUAAAAGAGAAAAAAUGUUAUGGAGCCAUGGGAUUCCAUCAAGGGGAUACUUAGUAAAAGGCUGUUGCAGACCAAAAAAUAUUUCUGUUAUGUGCAGGUGUAAAGUUCCAUCAUGGCUAAUAUCUCCAAGUCUUCAGCAGCAAUAACAMUACAUCAGUCUGGUAAUUGUCAAGAAAAUGCACUUACAUGUCAGAUUURAAUGUUAAAGGAAAACACAUGGAAGCCACCUGAAACUGUGGUUGCAGAGAAAGAAGAUUCUUUCAAAUCCUGUUCCUCAGUAUCUUUUUAUAAAUAUUCAUUGCAAUUUUUUUUAGAUUAAUGCCAAAAGGCUUUGCUGUAUCAGUCAGUAAUAAAGUGGAGGGACUGGGUAAGCUAGGGGUAGAUUCUGUGUAGAGGUUCAGUGAGUGCCUCUGCACGUGUGUGUAUCCAUAUGUGGUCUUUGGUGAAGAAGUAAUGUAGGACUGAACCUCUUUGACUGGAUUAUGUUGUGUCUUGCCCUUUUCAUCAUUAUUAUAUUAUUAGCUGCUGUUUAUUUUCAUAACUGUGCUUUUACUACAACUGUAAAAAAAAAAAAAAAAAAAAAAAAAAAAAAAAAAAAAAAAAAAAGCCUUCUUUGAAGUUCGAGAUUAUAUUGUGCUGGGAAUAUUACUUAGAAAUUGGCUAAAAUACAGUAAUGGAGGGAGGGAGCUGAGCAUGGGAAUUUUAAGGCUGAUGAAGCAAAAGCCAUAGAAGUUCUGAAGCCCUGGUCCUGUGACCUUUAAUAACAUAGCUUUGCUUCUCUUCCACUCCACAAACAGCAAUGCUGAUUUACUUGCAUGAAUAAGAUUUAAAGGAUCAAAACCAGACCUUGACACUGGUGGAUUUAUUGGCAUAGUUUGGUCUAGUCUACUGUAAGAUCUAAUUUUGCUCUGAUUCAGAAGAGAAAAAUUAGAAGAGCAAACUCCCUACAUAGUCACUGGAGAGAGGUAAGUGCUUCCAGGGGGGCCACUUAGGCAGUGUCAGUAAAAUGGCUAAAGCAGACAGCACAGAUAACGUGCUUCUGAAAUAUAACCGUACCAUGUGGUUCUUGGAAAGCGAGACAGAGACUUGGGUGCAUGUUAAGAUUAGUCAAAGAAAGAUAAACUUAUGGUGGAGUUCUUGCUACUUUCAUUUGGAAUGUUAAUAGCUCAAAUUAAACAGUGUAGAGUACUCCAAAUACCAGAGCAAGGAAAAAGUUUACAGCAAUGAUAUCAACAUUUGGAGGGUCCAUAUUUUUUCAAGGUCUGCUCACUUCCCAUGACUUUCAACAUAUUUGUACACUGCCAAGUAUAACUCAGGGUGCAGAUAUUAUGUAGGCCUGAUUUAACUUGAGUGCCUGGUAUAAUUACUUCGCCAGUGUUACCACAUGAAACCAAAACAGAAUAAAACCAAAUAAUGUUGCUUUCUAUUGUAAAAGUAUAUUUUGUUCCCAUGCAUGAAACAAACUUCCAGAUUUGCAUGCUUAGAAGGAGGCCAAGGAGUGAACCAGCAGAGGAAAAUUCUCCCUAUGUACAAGAAUGAAGUGAUUUUCUAAGGUCAAUGUAAAGAUGUAAGUAACACCUGCUAAAAUUAUGCCUUCUCUAGGCAAACAAGGUAAGUGURUUCUCAAAACCUGACAACCUUGUCUAUUAUACUCCUGAAUUCAGAUGUUACAUGCAGCUUUCACAUUAGAAAUGUGGCAUGGAAUUAAACAGCAUCUCAUUAAGCAGAAAGMUGAAGUUUUGGUCUUACCUUUCUGCAAACAGAACUUAUCAAGGACCAGGCUGCCGGACUGGAAAAUGGCAAAGCAACAGACAGAAAAGAAAAGACAGAACAGAAAAGAAGCUGUGUCCAUCCAGCUCCCCAGUCUGCCUCUUGCUGGAUACAAUUUCUUGGUCAAGCCAGCCUUGACACUUAUCUCAGUCCACAURCAAAGUGAGGGACACCCUGUGUUUAAAACACUGCAAGGACUCGUAAAUGGAACUGAACAUGGGCAUGUUUGAGAGAAGGAAGUCUAUUUCUAAACCACUACUGUGAGAUUCUCUGUCUUGGUACCUUGGCAGCCCUGCUUAUGUUACUGCUUGUGAGCACUGGUUUUGGACCAGUCCCUUGCUUAAACGGAAAGCACAGCAACAUGCUGAGCUCCCUGUGGUCUCCAUGGUCUUGAAAGUAAAAGCAAAUYAUUUGUAAUAUUGGUACAUGCCCACAAAAUAAUUGAAGUUGUAUCCUAAAGACUUUCUGUCUUGGAUGAACCCUAGCUGUCCUGGGCAUCUACCACUCCAAAAGCAAACCUUUGGCCCCUUUAUAUUUUUACAAUUAUAUGUAUGUUAUAAAAAAGAAGGAAGAAUGUGGGAAAGGGGAAAAAAAAAGCUUAAAAAUAAGCAUCCUUACUGUGGGAACAUGGUGGGGGAAGAACRGUAAAUGCAGCAGCUCUCCUUCACAGCGGAAUGGAAUUCUGUGCAAGGUUCGGUUGCUUACAUGCCAACCAUGUUCAGAAWGGCACUGUUGCCUAAGCACCUGCCUGACUUACACUAAAGCAAACAGGCARCAAAUAGGUUUCUCUUAGAAACACUAAAAAUGGCCACAGUUUGUGCUUACUAGGUCCAAAGCCAACAGGAUACCAGGCCAAGCAAAUACACCUCUUGUUUGGCAAGUUUGGGUGCUGGCUGUUUGCURGUGAGAGUACAUAAAUGCUACAUAUCCUAUCUAAUUUGAAACAUCUGUGGAAAGAAGUAUCACAUGAAUGAUAAAUACAGAAUCAAAGGUUCUCAUUGCCAAUUAAAAAAAAUGCAAGACAAAAAGGGCUCAUUUUUGCAGCUUUUCCAUUGUGGUCCUUUAGUAAAUGCUAAAAUAAAAAUAAAACAAAAAGGAACCAACAUUAAAAUAUCUUUUAUGCGAAAAAGGUUUGAUCCAAUUGCUCUUGAAAUCAAUAGGAAUUAACUUUGGAGAGCUUUAUACUGAAUGCCUAAGGACAUUCAUCUUUYAAGAAAUUAGCUCCCUCAUUGAACAUAUUUGAAGAAUUUAGGCUACAGUAAAGGGCAUUUAAAUUACAGAGCUUUUGGCUAAUGUGUGAACAGCCAUAGGGUUACAGCAGCCAUAGCCCCAAGCAAAUCACAGAUUAAAAGAAAAUACAAGCAAGAACAGCGAUGGGCUCUGCAUUAGCUUGAGUAUCUGUGUUUACCAUCCUCUUAUCUUUUGAAUUUUUUUUUCCUGAACCCCUGUAUGUUCUAAAUGAAAUAAAUGUCCUUGGGACAGUAUGUGAAGGUGACCAAGGCUUCUUCAUAAGUGUUUGUGAGACACAAGACAUUACUGCCCUGASAGUUUUCUCAUGCACAUAGAGCAGGAAGAGUCAAAGCCCAAGUCUUGUCAGACACAGAGAAAGGAGCAAGGGAUAGGUCACUCCUGSCAGAAGCUCUUGUGAUUCAAGAUAAAUACAGAGGAUUAAUAAAUAUCAAACAAGCUAACAUGGUCUUACCAGUCUGCUUCAGUAAAGAGGAACUGGAGUGGCACUGCCAACCAACAUGGGMAUGUGUGAGGAAAUGAGAGGUUAGACAAGUUAAGGAAGGGAAGGCAUGAACACGAGAAGGACCUGUAGAACAGAAGGUGAAAAAAGAUUUCCAUCAGAAGACUGGUACCACCAACUAAUUAAUCCAAAUGUUUUAUGGUUCAUGCAUCAGCCUCAUUUUAUUUUGYGAGUAAUUUUUAGUGACUUUGGAGGAAGACAGCAGAAGAAUUGARCAAUCCAUUCGUUCCCAUAAACUAAGGAUUAAUGGAAGAGAUGUCUGUUGUUCGAGUUCCAAAUGAUAUUAAAUAUUCUUUUAUUUCUCCUUAUCCUCUUCCCAUAAAGCCACAAGCCUAAAAUUGGCAGAGCACAAAUAUUAGCAAAGCCCCUACACAAAUGUUGCAUAGAAAGCUUUCUGUGAAGUGUUCUGUGAAGCCAGAAACACAGUUAAAACUUGAAAACCCUCUCAAGAAAAAUGCUGUCACAGGCAAAGCAGUUUGUAAUUUUUGAUAGCAGAACUUCCCCUCCUGUGGGUUGUCAAGACCCACCCCAAGCACCAGGCAGGGUGAACCUGUGGCAGGACUGGCAGUAGCAUCAGUCAGAAGUGUUCAGCAGUGAGAAAAAAUGUCAGCAAUGGACCACAAAACUUAAUUGAGCAGUUCUCCUUUUGGCCUUUGCACUCCAAUCCCCAGUGUGUUUGAUUUCCAAAAUCCACCAGAACCAAGUAAAAACACCUAUUUCUUUACAUGUGCUGUCCUGGAAUUUUUUCCUGGAGUUUCUUCGACUCAGCAGAAUUGAAGAAAAAUAUAGUUUUUAGCUCAAUAAAAUAUCCAGCACCCAGGCAAGAAAGGGGCAAAAAUGGUAAUUGAUACUUUUCUUCUUAGAUAUUUGUGUAGCACAUCACAACUAUGACACAGAGGCCACACCAAGUUACCCAGAUUUUCUGCAAAGAAAUGCAAAGAAUAUCUUGACAUCUCAGGUGAUUCUAUAACGACAGAAAAUCAACACAAUUCAUUUAUUUACAUGACUUGAUUGUCCUUUCUGCAAAUUUACAUGGUGUUCAAAUGCUAACAUUUGAGUUCCACAGAUUUUAAUAUGCUUUUACGUUUUUAUGUUUACCUGAUCAUUAAGUGAGCAUCUGURCUUCGUACUAUGGAAUAAAAUUUACUGAGUAAAUAAUACACAGUAGAGACACUAUUCAUGAAAGAAGUACAUUUUGAGUAUAGACUGGCAUUCAAAAAUGCAGAGCUCUGAUGGCUCCAUUGGUUUCAGUGGGAGUCUUGCUCUCAGACAGGCUAAACUSUGUCAGUGGCAGCCAACAGAGCAAUAACUAACUUGGCUUUUGAUAGAUGGUGGCUCUUGUUAGAUAGUUGGGUUAAUAAACUGUUUUGAAGGCCAUUUUUAUCCACUGUUACAUUGACAAAAACUUACAAUCAUUGAAACUGAAAAUCUGAGUUAGAAGAGAAUCCA